CUCGGGGCCCCCCUAUGCCCCCCACAACCCCCCCGUGCAUGUGUCCUCCCCCAGGAGCUGCUGCCGCACCUGGACACGGACAGGAUGGGGGAGCUCUGGAACAGCACCAGUGGCAUCAUCACCGCCGCCGACCGGGAGCAUCUGUGCCGCGGCCCCCCCACAGAGGGGGGGCACCCCGGUGGGGAGGGGGGGCUGGGGGAGGCACAGGGGCUGAGGGAGGGGAGCUGCGGGGGGGCCGGGGGUGAUGCCGGGGUCCCGCUGACCCUCAGCCUCCCCCCAGCCCCAGAGAGCCCUCUGGCAGCCACUGCAGAGGGGGAGGUUCCACCUGGCAGCCCCCCCCUAACACCCCCUCAGGGUAGGGGUCCCAGCAGCCCGUGCAUGGCCCUGAGCCCCCAGCCCCCCGAGACCCCCUCAGCCACCAGCGACUCCCCUCAGGGGGUGACAGGGGGCCCUGAGGGUGAUCGGUCAGGGGAGACCCCCUCGGGAGGGGAGUGGAGGUUGGGCCGACCCCAGAGCAGGGGGGUCUGGGGGGGGGCAGUGCUGUAACUGGGAUGUUUGGGGGGGCACUGGGCGGUCCUGCCCCAUAACGGGGGGGCAACGGAGGGCGGGGGGGGGCUUUUCCUGGCCAUAACCGGGGGGGGCUGGAGGGGUUAAGCAGCCUCAUGGUGAGAUUUGGGGGCACCUGAUCUCUGACAGGGGCUCUGGGACAUUUCAUGGGGGGAUCCUGGGGAAGGCUGGACUCUUUCUCUCGUUUUUGCUGGUUCUCAGUGGGGUUUUGUUGGUUUAGGGGGGUUGGUACAAAUAAAUUAAUAAAUAAACCCUGAUAACGGUU